rnacentral:lncRNA from 1 species
AUAUUCAAUUAAAUACCAGAGAUCCACUACAGUCUAGAGUAGACGAAUUUGAUUAGCUGAUUGGGUUAAUUUCCCAAACGAUCAAAUGACUAAUUUGUGUCCAUUUAAUUUUUGUUGUAGGACAAUGAGAUUGACAACUACUUAAUGGAAGGUUUUCCUCGUUAAAGAAUGUGAUCGAUUGUGAUAUCUGAAACAUGACAAGCAGAAGAAUUAUCCAACUGCAGCUACCCAAGCUGCAACUACUGUUUGGUCCGUCCAUUUUGUUAUAGGA